rnacentral:rRNA from 1 species
GACGAACGCUGGCGGCGUGCUUAACACAUGCAAGUCGAACGGAAAGGCCCUGCUUUUGUGGGGUGCUCGAGUGGCGAACGGGUGAGUAACACGUGAGUAACCUGCCCUUGACUUUGGGAUAACUUCAGGAAACUGGGGCUAAUACCGGAUAGGAGCUCCUGCUGCAUGGUGGGGGUUGGAAAGUUUCGGCGGUUGGGGAUGGACUCGCGGCUUAUCAGCUUGUUGGUGGGGUAGUGGCUUACCAAGGCUUUGACGGGUAGCCGGCCUGAGAGGGUGACCGGCCACAUUGGGACUGAGAUACGGCCCAGACUCCUACGGGAGGCAGCAGUGGGGAAUAUUGCACAAUGGGCGGAAGCCUGAUGCAGCAACGCCGCGUGCGGGAUGACGGCCUUCGGGUUGUAAACCGCUUUCGCCUGUGACGAAGCGUGAGUGACGGUAAUGGGUAAAGAAGCACCGGCUAACUACGUGCCAGCAGCCGCGGUGAUACGUAGGGUGCGAGCGUUGUCCGGAUUUAUUGGGCGUAAAGGGCUCGUAGGUGGUUGAUCGCGUCGGAAGUGUAAUCUUGGGGCUUAACCCUGAGCGUGCUUUCGAUACGGGUUGACUUGAGGAAGGUAGGGGAGAAUGGAAUUCCUGGUGGAGCGGUGGAAUGCGCAGAUAUCAGGAGGAACACCAGUGGCGAAGGCGGUUCUCUGGGCCUUUCCUGACGCUGAGGAGCGAAAGCGUGGGGAGCGAACAGGCUUAGAUACCCUGGUAGUCCACGCUGUAAACGGUGGGUACUAGGUGUGGGGUCCAUUCCACGGGUUCCGUGCCGUAGCUAACGCUUUAAGUACCCCGCCUGGGGAGUACGGCCGCAAGGCUAAAACUCAAAGGAAUUGACGGGGCCCCGCACAAGCGGCGGAGCAUGCGGAUUAAUUCGAUGCAACGCGUAGAACCUUACCUGGGUUUGACAUGGAUCGGGAGCGCUCAGAGAUGGGUGUGCCUCUUUUGGGGUCGGUUCACAGGUGGUGCAUGGCUGUCGUCAGCUCGUGUCGUGAGAUGUUGGGUUAAGUCCCGCAACGAGCGCAACCCUUGUUCACUGUUGCCAGCACGUUAUGGUGGGGACUCAGUGGAGACCGCCGGGGUCAACUCGGAGGAAGGUGGGGAUGACGUCAAGUCAUCAUGCCCCUUAUGUCCAGGGCUUCACGCAUGCUACAAUGGCUGGUACAGAGAGUGGCGAGCCUGUGAGGGUGAGCGAAUCUCGGAAAGCCGGUCUCAGUUCGGAUUGGGGUCUGCAACUCGACCUCAUGAAGUCGGAGUCACUAGUAAUCGCAGAUCAGCAACGCUGCGGUGAAUACGUUCCCGGGGCU